GCUCCGUUAGCUCAGUCGGCCAGAGCGUCGGCCUUAUGUGCCGAAGGUCGUGGGUUCGAGCCCCACAUGGAGCU